GACGAACGCUGGCGGCGUGCCUAAUACAUGCAAGUUGAGCGCUGAAGGUUGGUACUUGUACCAACUGGAUGAGCAGCGAACGGGUGAGUAACGCGUGGGGAAUCUGCCUUUGAGCGGGGGACAACAUUUGGAAACGAAUGCUAAUACCGCAUAAAAACUUUAAACACAAGUUUUAAGUUUGAAAGAUGCAAUUGCAUCACUCAAAGAUGAUCCCGCGUUGUAUUAGCUAGUUGGUGAGGUAAAGGCUCACCAAGGCGAUGAUACAUAGCCGGCCUGAGAGGGUGAUCGGCCACAUGGGGACUGAGACACGGCCCAAACUCCUACGGGAGGCAGCAGUAGGGAAUCUUCGGCAAUGGACGAAAGUCUGACCGAGCAACGCCGCGUGAGUGAAGAAGGUUUUCGGAUCGUAAAACCCUGUUGGUAGAGAAGAACGUUGGUGAGAGUGGAAAGCUCAUCAAGUGACGGUAACUACCCAGAAAGGGACGGCUAACUACGUG
rnacentral:rRNA from 1 species